UGCUUCGGCAUGAAGAUGGACCGGAUCGGGUCCAUGAGCGGGCUGGGCUGCUAGCAAUACACGGGCCGAGAGCACAACCCUGAGUAAUUGACUGUCAAGCAGCUCUCUGAUUGGCUCUCUGGACCGCAGUGUCUGCCCACCGGGAUUCACGUAAAAGACUGACUCCUCCUCCCUCAUGGACCUGCUCUGCGCACAGGGGUGGGGUUUGCAUCGAGAACCCCGUCCCCCCCCCGUCUCCCUAUUGGCUGCAGGACCGCCUGUCUCUGCCGUAGCCCCUCCCACUGCAUUCGUAUUGGCUGCUGGAAAGUGACUGGCGCCGGUGUAGCCCCUCCCACUCUGUUCUCAUUGGUUGUUCUGGAAUUAAAGGAGAACCUGUUAGAACAUA